UACGAAGGGGGCUAGCGUUGCUCGGAAUCACUGGGCGUAAAGGGUGCGUAGGCGGGUCUUUAAGUCAGAGGUGAAAUCCUGGAGCUCAACUCCAGAACUGCCUUUGAUACUGAGGAUCUUGAGUAUGGGAGAGGUGAGUGGAACUGCGAGUGUAGAGGUGAAAUUCGUAGAUAUUCGCAAGAACACCAGUGGCGAAGGCGGCUCACUGGCCCGGUACUGACGCUGAGGCGCGAAAGCGUGGGGGAGCAAACAGG
rnacentral:rRNA from 1 species